GCCAGCUGUAUGGCUUCUGUUUCAGAGGCCCC
rnacentral:piRNA from 1 species